UGGGGAAUAUUGGACAAUGGAGGAAACUCUGAUCCAGGGAUACCGCGUGGAUGAUGAAGGUUUACGAACUGUAAAGUCCUUUUAAUAGGGAAAAUAAUGAUGGUACCUAUAGAAAAAGUAUCGGCUAACUCUGUGCCAGCAGCUGCGGUAAGACAGAGGAUACAAGUGUUGUUCGGAAUUACUGGGUGUAAAGGGCGCGUAGGCUGUGUUAUAAGUUAAUGAUGAAAUACCAAGGCUCAACCUUGGGGCUAUUGUUAAUACUGUAAUACUUGAGAGCGGGAGAGGUAAAUGGAAUUUCUAGUGGAGAGGUCAAAUUCGUAGAUAUUAGAAGGAACACCAGAGGCGAAAGCGGUUUACUAGAACGUUUCUGACGCUAAGGCGCGAAAGCGUGGGGAUCAAAUAGG
rnacentral:rRNA from 1 species